rnacentral:lncRNA from 1 species
GUCUCCAGAGUGACGAGGCGCGAACGAAGACCCGGAGCCCGGAUUCAGGAGUCACAGAGCGAGGCUGGAGAGAGACCGCGGCUGGCCAAACGAGGAGGGGAGAGGCUGGGCCACCCUUCGUCCUUGCGCUGGCAUUCCGAGGACUUCCGGCAAACACCACUCCCCAGCCCUGACGGUGGCCACAAGCCGCUGCUUGAAAACACCCCUGGGGAUUCAUUCUCAGCUUUCCAGAAAAGGUGAAAAAGACCAGGCACACAUCUCUUGCCCACAGGGCACUCAGGCUGCUUGAGUCUCCCCUGCAUCCACGCACUGAGCAUUCAUGUGAUGGAACAUCAGUCCUGGCUGUCUGCCUGUGAGGACACAGCAGGGUAACCAGGGAGAGGCGUGGAACAGGACGUGCGUUCUGGAGGUCUGCACAGUCGGAGAGAGCCGUGAGAAAGGAUGGCCACAUUUAUUGAGCGCCUACCAUGAUCUGUGUAUUUCUUGUGCAUCCACCUCACUUAAUCUACCCCUUGGGAAUGGAGGACGUUAGGGUCCUCAAUUUACAGACAGAUUAAAUAAAAACUUGUUCAAGGUCAAGUAGCUCCUAGGUGCUUUUGAGCCUAGGUUAGCCUGACUCCUCAUCCCACUAAGCAAGAACCAUACUUGUGCCCCGCCCAGGGGCUGGUAUGUGGUGGGUGCCUAGUGCUGGUUGAAUGAAUGAGUGGGUGAUAAAUGACUUCUGCUGGGGUCAUCAGGAGGCCUUCUCAAGGAAGUGGCACUGAGGCUGGGCUUGGGGAACAGCAGGAAUUCUCUGGGCAAAAAAGGUGGAAGGAUAUCUUAGUGAGGAGGAACAGUGCGUGCAGGCAGAGAGGUGUGGAGGCCUGUGGCGUGUUCUGGAAUCUGUGGAAUCAGGGUGUACCUGUGGAUUUAUGGGAUGUGGGAUGCCGGAUAAGGUGGGGCCUGACUAUACCACACUGAGGAGUUGGGACUGAAUCCUUUUGAGUAGGGAGAGCCCACGAGGAAGGGAAACACUUGUGGUGGUUUGUGUGUUGCUGUUCUUAUGCUGACAUCCUCGAGGCUCAGGAGAGCCAGAGGGGAUUUCAGAUUUCAUCAGUUCUCC